rnacentral:rRNA from 1 species
AUGAGUAGCCUACAUCUCAGUGUGCUUAACUGGAACGUGCGUGGGCUAAACUGCCCCCACAGAAGAACCACUGUCAAUGAAUCUAUUGCUGCUUCCGCGUGCCAUCUGGCUUGUCUCCAGGAAUCCAAACUUGAAGUCGUUGAUGCCUCCACUGCUGCUUUCCUCGGCGGAUAUAGGCUCAAGGGCUUCGCCCAGCGACCUGCUGUAGGUACGCGGGGCGGGAUUCUCCUACUGUGGAAUGAAGAUCAUGUCCAAGUUCAGAAUGUCCACUUUGGCGACUACACCCUAUCGGCACAAAUCACAAUCAUCAACACAGAUACAUCCUUCAAAUUAACCACCGUCUAUGGACCCACUAGAAACAAUCUAAAAGACGCUUUUUCCAAGAAAUGA